AACGUAGGGGGCAAGCGUUGCCCGGAUUCACUGGGCGUAAAGCGCGUGUAGGCGGUCUGUUAAGUCGGAUGUGAAAUCUCUGGGCUCAACCCAGAAAUCGCAUCCGAUACUGGCAGACUUGAGGAUGGUAGAGGUUGGUGGAAUUCCCGGUGUACCGGUGAAAUGGACAGAUAUCGGGAGGAACACCAGUGGCGAAGGCGGCCAACUGGGCCAUUCCUGACGCUGAGACGCGAAAGCCAGGGGAGCGAACCGG
rnacentral:rRNA from 1 species